CUGAACUUGUAACGGCAUCCCCACCACCUUGGACUUCUUCUGGCAUUUUGAGUUCAUGUUCCUUUUCUUGAUUUUCCUCUUUGCUCACUAUCUCAUUCUCAUUCAAUUCAGGUUUAGCCUUCUCUGAUCCUGUCACUUCACACACCUCCUUAACCAAUGGGCUUUCAAACUCAUCAUUGACUAUAGCAUCUUCCUCAAUCUUUUCUUCAUUUUCCAUAGUUUCUUUUUUAGGUUCUAUUUCUGUUGAGCUGCAAACAUCAGUAGUAAUGACAUGCAGCAACCCUUGUUGCUCCAUAUUUUCUUUUGUUUCUAUACUAGAUUCGAUUUCUUCAAUGUUUUCCUCUACACUUUCUCUCGUUUCAACAACUUCAGGUUCUUUACCUUCUUCUUGGUAGUUCUUUUCUUGCAAGUCUUCUUCUAAGGCUGCAACCUGUGAGCUUGUUACAUUAUCCUCGCCUUGACCUUCUGUUGACAUGUCAACCUGAUCCUUUUCUUGUUCUUCAUCCUUGAAAGUUUCAAUAGCUUUUACCUCUUGUUCAGAUUCAACCUUUUUUGAGCUAGUCUCAUCGCAUACCUCCUUGGUAGUCUCUUCAUAAACCUCCUUCAUAGACUCUUCAUUCUUUUGUUCAGUUUCCGUGGUCUCUUCUUGAGAUUCUGUUUGUGCUGAUAUGCAAGCUACCUCUUGAGCAUCACUUGGUUUUUCCUCUGUUUCUUCCAUAAGGAUCUCUUUAGGCAUUAAACCUAUCGCUUGUCCCUCCUCUAAAUAGGCCACUGUAGUGUCCUGUUGACCAACUGUUGUUUCUUUUAUAUCCUCACACGUUGCAUCUUUUGAACUUGUAGUUGUAACAUCAUCCCCUAAACCUUUUCCUGACACAUAAACCUCUUGUUCCUUUUCUUCAUCUUCAACUUUGUUCACUAUUUCUUUCUCAUUUGUUGUUUCUUUUACCUCUUCGCUAUAUUCAACUUUCUCUGAACUGGUCUCUUCACAUACUUCAUUGACUGGGGAGCUGUCAACAUUUUCCUUUUGACCAUUAUCACUCUGAAUAGGCUCGUCACUUUUUACUUCAUGUUCUUCACUUUCUACCUGAGAUUUUGUUUGUGAUGUGAUGCAAUCAUCAUGCAACAGUUCUUGCUGCUUGGUUUCAACACUUGGUUUGAUUUCUUUAGUAUCUUCCUCUUGCUCAAUCUCUGAACAAGAUUGAACAGUUUUGUUGUCGCUUUCAUCAGGCUUUUGUUCUGUUUUGUCCUAUUAGAGAAAAAGUAUUCAGUUAGAUAUGAUGAUUUAUAUAAAUAGGCUCAAAGUUUUUAAAAACAAUCUCUGUGGUAGGUUUUUUUCAUUGUUCUUUUUUAAGAUAAUUGUGAGUGACAGUUGUUCUUUAUAACAUUAACAUGAUUCUACAUUGCUUAGUAAUAAAACAUUAAAAGUUUUAGUAGGAAAGAUAUACAAGUAAAACCUUUUGGAUUGUUCAGAGUUAACAUGGGAUGAACACGAAUUACCUCUUGAGCAUCAAUUGCACUCUGAUUCGGCUCCUCGAACUCGAUAUCAGCCACUGGGGUAGCCUUUUGACCAAUUAUUGUUUCUUUUAUAUCCUCGCUGGAUGCAUUCUGUGAGCUUGUAACAUCAUCUCCACCACCUUGGACUUCUUUUGACAUUUUAAUCUCUUGUUCCUUUUCUUGAUUUUCCUCAUUGUUCACUAUUUCAUUCUCAUUCAAUUCAGAUUCAGCCUUCUCUGAGCUUGUUGCUUCACAUACUUCCUUCACCAAGGGGCUUUCAGACUUAUCUGUUUGACCAUCAUCAUUCACCAAUGCCUCUUCAUCAAUCUUUAUAUCAUCUUUUGUUUCGGCACUAGAUUUGAUUUCUUCAGUAUCUUCCUCUAAAUACUCUCUAGGUUUGACAAAUUCGGGUUCCUUACCUUCAUCAUCAUAUUUUGUUUCUGGUAAGUCCUGUAUAGAAGUUGCAUCUUGUGAGAAAGUGACAUCAUCUUUUCCUUGGUCUUCUUCUGAAAUGAUGGACUCUUGUUCUUGUUCUUGUUCUUUUUCUUUUUCUUGAUGUUCAUCUUUGUCAGAAGGUUCUACCCCUUCAAAUUUACCCUUCUCUAAGUGAGUUUCUUCACAUACUUCAGUCACAUCUUCAUCGUCUGUAAUCUUUACCUGCUCCUUUUCAUCUGUUUCCACACUUGGCUUGAUUUCUUCAGCAUUUUCAUUUUUGUUGACACUUUCCUCGGGCUUUUGUUCUAUUUUUUCAUUUGCUCCACUCUCAUCCUGCUCACUUGCCUAUAUGAACACAAGUAUUUUGAGUACAUGUGGAGAAUAAAAGUAACACAUCAUGAUAAGUCUAAUGCAUAGUCAAACUUUUAAAACAAUCUUUGUGGCAGCUUCAAAAAAAUUUGUGAGCCAAAUUUGCUAUAAACUACUUUAUAGAAUGGUUUUCUCUAAACAUUUAUCGUUUUAUGAACUCUAACUCUUCUCAACAAAUGAAACUAAACGUUUGGAUGAGACAAGCAUUUGACAUUAAAAUUAUGUAUGAAAAUCAUAAUAUUGUCUUAUACUUUUAUAAAUUAAACAUAAAACUAGUAAGAAUUAGCCUUAACAUUUAACAAUACAUUAGUAUAAUAUGUGAUUUUUAGUUUCUCUUACACAUGAGAUAAGAAAAUAUGUAGCAGACAACAACAUUUCCAUAUGUCAUAAUGAUUAUAGCAUUUCAAAUUCUAGUAAGACUGAUCUACAAUUAAAACUGUAAAACCUUUUAGGAAUAGUUAGGUUUACUUAGAAUGAACAUGAAUUACCUCUUGCACAUCAGUUGAUUUGUCCUCUGCUUCUUCCUUAAGGAUCUCCUUAGGCGUUGAGUUUAGAGCCUGUUCCUCCUCUAAAUAGGCCACUGUAGUAACAUGCUCACCAGUUGUUGUUUCUUUUAUAUCCUCAAAUGUUGCAUCUUGUGAACUUGUAACAUCAUCCCCUAAACCUUUUCCUGACACAUAAACCUCUUGUUCCUUUUCUUCAUCUUCAACUUUGCUUGCUAUUUCGUUUUCAUUCAGAUCGAUAUUAACACUGUCAGAAAGUUUUAACCCUUCUUCAGAUUCAACCUUCUCUGAGACAGUCUCUUCACAUACUUCCUUCACCAUGGUCUCUGUAUUAGAACUAUCAGAGUAGUUCACCUCUUCUUUAUAUUCAAUUUUCUCUGAACUAGCCUCUUCACAUACUUCAACACUUGGUUUGGUUUCUUCAGUAUCUUUCUCUUGCUCAAUUUCU
rnacentral:lncRNA from 1 species